CUUCUCUGAUGUUAGCGGCGGACGGGUGAGUAACACGUGGAUAACCUACCUAUAAGACUGGGAUAACUUCGGGAAACCGGAGCUAAUACCGGAUAAUAUUUUGAACCGCAUGGUUCAAAAGUGAAAGACGGUCUUGCUGUCACUUAUAGAUGGAUCCGCGCUGCAUUAGCUGGUUGGUAAGGUAACGGCUUACCAAGGCAACGAUGCAUAGCCGACCUGAGAGGGUGAUCGGCCACACUGGAACUGAGACACGGUCCAGACUCCUACGGGAGGCAGCAGUAGGGAAUCUUCCGCAAUGGGCGAAAGCCUGACGGAGCAACGCCGCGUGAGUGAUGAAGGUCUUCGGAUCGUAAAACUCUGUUAUUAGGGAAGAACAUAUGUGUAAGUAACUGUGCACAUCUUGACGGUACCUAAUCAGAAAGCCACGGCUAACUACGUGCCAGCAGCCGCGGUAAUACGUAGGUGGCAAGCGUUAUCCGGAAUUAUUGGGCGUAAAGCGCGCGUAGGCGGUUUUUUAAGUCUGAUGUGAAAGCCCACGGCUCAACCGUGGAGGGUCAUUGGAAACUGGAAAACUUGAGUGCAGAAGAGGAAAGUGGAAUUCCAUGUGUAGCGGUGAAAUGCGCAGAGAUAUGGAGGAACACCAGUGGCGAAGGCGACUUUCUGGUCUGUAACUGACGCUGAUGUGCGAAAGCGUGGGGAUCAAACAGGAUUAGAUACCCUGGUAGUCCACGCCGUAAACGAUGAGUGCUAAGUGUUAGGGGGUUUCCGCCCCUUAGUGC
rnacentral:rRNA from 1 species